rnacentral:rRNA from 1 species
AGUUUGAUCCUGGCUCAGGAUGAACGCUAGCUACAGGCUUAACACAUGCAAGUCGAGGGGCAGCAUUGGAGUAGCAAUACUUCAGAUGGCGACCGGCGCACGGGUGAGUAACACGUAUCCAACCUGCCGCUUACUCGGGGAUAGCCUUUCGAAAGAAAGAUUAAUACCCGAUGGUAUAAAGAGUUCGCAUGUUCUCUUUAUUAAAGAAUUUCGGUAAGCGAUGGGGAUGCGUUCCAUUAGAUUGUUGGCGGGGUAACGGCCCACCAAGUCUACGAUGGAUAGGGGUUCUGAGAGGAAGGUCCCCCACAUUGGAACUGAGACACGGUCCAAACUCCUACGGGAGGCAGCAGUGAGGAAUAUUGGUCAAUGGACGAGAGUCUGAACCAGCCAAGUAGCGUGAAGGAUGACUGCCCUAUGGGUUGUAAACCUCUUUUAUAAGGGAAUAAAGUGAGGGACGUGUCUCUUUUUGUAUGUACCUUAUGAAUAAGGAUCGGCUAACUCCGUGCCAGCAGCCGCGGUAAUACGGAGGAUCCGAGCGUUAUCCGGAUUUAUUGGGUUUAAAGGGAGCGUAGGUUGACGUAUAAGUCAGCUGUGAAAGUUUACGGCUCAACCGUGAAAUUGCAGUUGAUACUGUAUGUCUUGAGUGUACAAGAGGUGGGCGGAAUUCGUGGUGUAGCGGUGAGAUGCUUAGAUAUCACGAAGAACUCCAAUUGCGAAGGCAGCUCACUGGGGUACAACUGACACUGAGGCUCGAAAGUGUGGGUAUCAAACAGGAUUAGAUACCCUGGUAGUCCACACAGUAAACGAUGAAUACUCGCUGUUUGCGAUAUACAGUAAGCGGCCAAGCGAAAGCAUUAAGUAUUCCACCUGGGGAGUACGCCGGCAACGGUGAAACUCAAAGGAAUUGACGGGGGCCCGCACAAGCGGAGGAACAUGUGGUUUAAUUCGAUGAUACGCGAGGAACCUUACCCGGGCUUGAAUUGCAGAGGAACAUAGUUGAAAGAUUAUGGCCGCAAGGUCUCUGUGAAGGUGCUGCAUGGUUGUCGUCAGCUCGUGCCGUGAGGUGUCGGCUUAAGUGCCAUAACGAGCGCAACCCUUAUCAUUAGUUACUAACAGGUCAUGCUGAGGACUCUAGUGAGACUGCCGUCGUAAGAUGUGAGGAAGGUGGA